ensembl:lncRNA
GGGGAGGAGGAGGAGCAGUGGGAGGAAGAGGGGGAGGUGAUAUAGGAGGAGGGGGAAGGGGAGGGUAUAAUCACUGGACGACCCAGCAGAGACCUAGAACCACAGAGAGAGAGAGACAGGGGUUGGGGGAAAGAGAGAGUGUGUGUGUCUGCGCCUACAUGUGUGUUUGUGCAUGUGUGUCUGUGCAUAUGCGUGCGGGCGUGUGUGUGUGUGCGUGUCUGUGCGUAUGCAUGUAUGUGUGUGUGUAUCGUCGUAUGCAUGUCUGUGUGCGUGGGUGUGUGAACACUGAUGAUAAGAGAGUAUAGGGGGAGAGGGGACAGAUUGAUUUAUGGAUUAAACUCCGUCAGGGUUUGGGAUCAAAACUCAAGAAAGGGAGAGUGAUUUAGACAGAGUGAGAAGUUGUGAGGGAGUGAGAGACGGAGGAAGGUUAUGGGAGUGAAGUAGACCGCCUCAGAGCACAGGAUUCAAAGAGUGAGUGGUGCCCAGGUGUGGGGGGCAUCUGGAUGGACAGAGCAGCGUGUGGAUUAGCACCCCGUCCCAGGAUUACCACUGAGCCUGCCGGCUGAUUUGGCGACGGGGAACCAGAUUAAACUCUGAUGAAGUCGCCCUCCCGAAGAUCCGUCGGUGCUGGGGUAUGGAUGGUUACCGUGGUAACCACCAUGGUGAAGAUGAUGAUGUCAUAGUUGUAGCGAUGGCGAUGAUGAAGACGAUUGGUGAGUGUGUGGUUCUCACCAAUGUGAGGGUGAUGAAGUUGAGGGUCAUACUCACGCUCUCCAUUUAGGUCCUCACAUGUCUCUGUCUACCUUUCCCCCUCCUAAAUCCUCAGUCCCCCUCUGGCCUCUCUGAGGUCCUCAGUCCCCCUCUGGUCUCUCUGAGGUCCUCAGUCCCCCUCUGGUCUCUCUGAGGUCCUCAGUCUCCCUCUGGCCUCUCUGAGGUCCUCAGUCCCCCUCUGGCCUCUCUGAGCUCCUCAGUCCCCCUCUGGUCUCUCUGAGGUCCUCAGUCCCCCUCUGGCCUCUCUUAGGUCCUCAGUCUCCCUCUGGUCUCUCUGAGGUCCUCAGUCCCCCUCUGGUCUCUCUGAGGUCAUCAGUCUCCCUCUGGCCUCUCUGAGGUCCUCAGUCCCCCUCUGGUCUCUCUGAGGUCCUCAGUCUCCCUCUGGUCUCUCUGAGGUCCUCAGUCUCCCUCUGGCCUCUUUGAGGUCCUCAGGCCCCCUCUGGCCUCUCUGAGGUCCUCAGUCUCCCUCUGGUCUCUCUGAGGUCCUCAGUCCCCC